rnacentral:rRNA from 1 species
AACGAACGCUGGCGGCAUGCCUACACAUGCCAGUCGAACGAGACCUUCGGGUCUAGUGGCGCACGGGUGCGUAACGCGUGGGAACCUGCCCUUAGGUUCGGAAUAACUCCCCGAAAGGGGUGCUAAUACCGGAUAAUGUCUUCGGACCAAAGAUUUAUCGCCUUUGGAUGGGCCCGCGUUGGAUUAGCUAGUUGGUAGGGUAAAAGCCUACCAAGGCGACGAUCCAUAGCUGGUCUGAGAGGAUGAUCAGCCACACUGGGACUGAGACACGGCCCAGACUCCUACGGGAGGCAGCAGUGGGGAAUAUUGGACAAUGGGCGAAAGCCUGAUCCAGCAAUGCCGCGUGAGUGAUGAAGGCCUUAGGGUUGUAAAGCUCUUUUACCCGGGAUGAUAAUGACAGUACCGGGAGAAUAAGCUCCGGCUAACUCCGUG